rnacentral:rRNA from 1 species
AUUUAACGGCGGCGGAAUGCUUUACACAUGCAAGUCGAACGGCAGCACGGAGAGCUUGCUCUCUGGUGGCGAGUGGCGAACGGGUGAGUAAUAUAUCGGAACGUAUCCAAUAAUGGGGGAUAACGAGUCGAAAGAUUCGCUAAUACCGCAUACGCCCUACGGGGGAAAGCAGGGGAUCGUAAGACCUUGCGUUAAUGGAGCGGCCGAUAUCUGAUUAGCUUGUUGGUGAGGUAAAGGCUCACCAAGGCGACGAUCAGUAGCUGGUUUGAGAGAACGACCAGCCACACUGGAACUGAGACACGGUCCAGACUCCUACGGGAGGCAGCAGUGGGGAAUUUUGGACAAUGGGGGCAACCCUGAUCCAGCCAUUCCGCGUGAGUGAAGAAGGCCUUCGGGUUGUAAAGCUCUUUCGCAAGGGAAGAAAACUUAUGAUCGAAUAAAUCAUGAGGUUGACGGUACCUUGAUAAGAAGCACCGGCUAACUACGUGCCAGCAGCCGCGGUAAUACGUAGGGUGCGAGCGUUAAUCGGAAUUACUGGGCGUAAAGCGUGCGCAGGCGGUUUUGUAAGUCGGAUGUGAAAUCCCCGGGCUCAACCUGGGAACUGCGUUCGAAACUGCAAGGCUAGAGUGUGUCAGAGGGGGGUAGAAUUCCACGUGUAGCAGUGAAAUGCGUAGAGAUGUGGAGGAAUACCAAUGGCGAAGGCAGCCCCCUGGGAUAACAC